rnacentral:rRNA from 1 species
GAUGAACGCUGGCGGCGUGCCUAAUACAUGCAAGUCGAGCGAACAGACGAGGAGCUUGCUCCUCUCACGUUUGCGGCGCACGGGUGAGUCACACGUGUAUCACCUCCCUAUAAGACUGGGAUAUCUUCGAGAAACCGGCUCUAAUCCCGUAUAAUAUCUUGAACCGUGUGGUUCAAUAGUGAGAUACGGUGUUGCUGUCUCUUAUAGCUGCAUCCGCGCCGGAUUAGCUAGUUGGUAAGGUAACGGCUUACCACGGCAACGAUGCGUAGCCGACGGGAGAGGGGGAUAGGCGACAUUGGAGCUGGGACAGGGACCAGACUCCUACGGGAGGGAGCAGUAGGGAAUCGGCCGCAAUGGGCGGAAGCUUGACGGAGCAACGGCGCGUGAGUGAUGAAGGUCUUCGGAUCGUAAAACUGUGUUAUUAGGGAAGAACAAAUGUGUAAGUAGCUAUAGACGUCUUGACGGUACCUAAUCAGAAAGCCACGGCUAACUACGUG